AUAAUGCAGUCGAGCGGACCUUUUAAAAGCUUGCUUUUGAAAGGUCAGCGGCGGACGGGUGAGUAACACGUGGGCAACCUGCCUGUAAGACUGGGAUAACUUCGGGAAACCGGAGCUAAUACCGGAUAAUAUAAGGAACCUCCUGGUUCUUUAUUGAAAGAUGGUUUCGGCUAUCACUUACAGAUGGGCCCGCGGCGCAUUAGCUAGUUGGUGAGGUAACGGCUCACCAAGGCGACGAUGCGUAGCCGACCUGAGAGGGUGAUCGGCCACACUGGGACUGAGACACGGCCCAGACUCCUACGGGAGGCAGCAGUAGGGAAUCUUCCACAAUGGACGAAAGUCUGAUGGAGCAACGCCGCGUGAGCGAUGAAGGCCUUCGGGUCGUAAAGCUCUGUUGUUAGGGAAGAACAAGUGCGAGAGUAACUGCUCGCACCUUGACGGUACCUAACCAGAAAGCCACGGCUAACUACGUGCCAGCAGCCGCGGUAAUACGUAGGUGGCAAGCGUUGUCCGGAAUUAUUGGGCGUAAAGCGCGCGCAGGUGGUCCUUUAAGUCUGAUGUGAAAGCCCACGGCUCAACCGUGGAGGGUCAUUGGAAACUGGGGGACUUGAGUGCAGAAGAGGAAAGUGGAAUUCCAAGUGUAGCGGUGAAAUGCGUAGAGAUUUGGAGGAACACCAGUGGCGAAGGCGACUUUCUGGUCUGUAACUGACACUGAGGCGC
rnacentral:rRNA from 2 species